rnacentral:rRNA from 1 species
AGAGAUCAUGGCUCAGAAUGAACGUUGGCGGCGUGGAUUAGGCAUGCAAGUCGGACGGGCCGCAAGGCCAGUGGCGUAAGGGUGAGUAAGGCGACGGCAAUCAUCCCCACGGUUGGGUAUAGCCGCGAGAAAUCGCGGGUAAUCCCCAGCGACGCAGGGCGUCGGCAUCGACGCCCUGCCAAAGGCUCGCCGCCGUGGGACGAGCCGUCGUGGUAUUAGGUCGUUGGCGGGGUAACGGCCCACCAAGCCUGCGAUGCCUACCGGGUGUGCGAGCAUGGCCCGGCACACUGGGACUGAGACACUGCCCAGACUCCUACGGGAGGCUGCAGUCGAGAAUCUUCGGCAAUGGGCGCAAGCCUGACCGAGCGACGCCGCGUGGAGGACGAAGGCCUUCGGGUUGUAAACUCCUGUCGAGGGGAAGGAAGGGCCCGCAAGGGCCUUGACCGCUCCCUGGAGGAAGCACGGGCUAAGUUCGUGCCAGCAGCCGCGGUAAGACGAACCGUGCGAACGUUAUUCGGAAUCACUGGGCUUAAAGCGCGUGUAGGCGGGGCGGUGCGUCGGUCGCUGAAAUCCCCCGGCUCAACCGGGGAAGGGGCGCCGAGACGACCGCCCUGGAGCGACGUAUGGGGGACUGGAACUUCCGGUGGAGCGGUGAAAUGCGUUGAGAUCGGAAGGAACGCCCGUGGUGAAGGCUAGUCCCUGGACGUCGGCUGACGUUGAGACGC